rnacentral:rRNA from 1 species
CCUACGGGUGGCAGCAGUGAGGAAUAUUGGUCAAUGGACGCGAGCCUGAACCAGCCAAGUAGCGUGAAGGAUGACUGCCCUACGGGUUGUAAACUUCUUUUAUAAAGGAAUAAAAUGAGGCACGUGUGCCUUUUUGCAUGUACUUUAUGAAUAAGGCUCGGCUAACUCCGUGCCAGCAGCCGCGGUAAUACGGAGGAUCCGAGCGUUAUCCGGAUUUAUUGGGUUUAAAGGGAGCGUAGAUGGGUUGUUAAGUCAGUUGUGAAAGUUUGCGGCUCAACCGUAAAAUUGCAAUUGAUACUGGCAGCCUUGAGUACAGUUGAGGUAGGCGGAAUUCGUGGUGUAGCGGUGAAAUGCUUAGAUAUCAGGAAGAACCCCGGUGGCGAAGGCAGCUGACUAAACUGUUACUGACACUGAUGCACGAAAGUGUGGGUAGCAAACAGGAUUAGAUACCCGAGUAGUC